rnacentral:snRNA from 1 species
AUACUUACCUGACAGGGGAAAUACCAUGAUCACGAAGGUGGUUUUCCCAGGGCGAGGCUUAUCCAUUGCACUCCGGAUGUGCUGACCCCUGCGAUUUCCCCAAAUGUGGGAAACUCGACUGCAUAAUUUGUGGUAGUGGGGGACUGCGUUCGCGCUCUCCCCUG